rnacentral:rRNA from 1 species
CAAUAGCGUAUAUUAAAGUUGUUGCGGUUAAAAGACUCGUAGUUGGAUUUCUGCCGAGGACAACCGGUCCGCCCUCUGGGUGAGCAUCUGGGACGCCUGGGCGAUCCUCUUUGGGGAACGUAGCUGCACUUGACUGUGUGGUGCGGUAUCCAGGACUUUUACUUUGAGGAAAUUAGAGUGUUUCAAGCAGGCGCACGCCUUGAAUACAUUAGCAUGGAAUAAUAAGAUAGGACCUCGGUUCUAUUUUGUUGGUUUCUAGAGCUGAGGUAAUGAUUAAUAGGGAUAGUUGGGGGCAUUCGUAUUUAACUGUCAGAAGUGAAAUUCUUGGAUUUGUUAAAGACGGACUACUGCGAAAGCAUUUGCCAAGGAUGUUUUCAUUGAUCAAGAACGAAAGUUAGGGGAUCGAAGAU